CAGUAGCCGCGGGAAUACGAAGGGGGCUAGCGUUGUUCGGAAUCACUGGGCGUAAAGCGCACGCAGGCGGUCUGACAAGUCAGAUGUGAAAUCCCCGGGCUUAACCUGGGAACUGCAUUUGAAACUGUCAGGCUGGAGUCUUGUAGAGGGGGGUGGAAUUCCAGGUGUAGCGGUGAAAUGCGUAGAGAUCUGGAGGAAUACCGGUGGCGAAGGCGGCCCCCUGGACAAAGACUGACGCUCAGGUGCGAAAGCGUGGGGAGCAAACAGGAUUAGAUACCCCAGUAGUCCCUGUCUCUUAUAA
rnacentral:rRNA from 1 species